UCACCAUAAACGCCAAUACAUAUGACUAGUCACAACUUACUGGAUCAGACCAAGACUGCUCUAUGAUCAGGGAUGUACCAACUCCAGUUUUUAAGACUCCUCUAUCCUACCAACAAAGUGCUCUCAACUAGUCCCAAAUGACCCCUCUAAACUGUCUCAACACUCUAAACACACCAUGGACCACGAUUACUCAAAAUCAUAACC
rnacentral:lncRNA from 1 species